AUUGAACGCUGGCGGCAGGCCUAACACAUGCAAGUCGAACGGUAACAGGAAGAAGCUUGCUUCUUUGCUGACGAGUGGCGGACGGGUGAGUAAUGUCUGGGAGACUGCCUGAUGGAGGGGGAUAACUACUGGAAACGGUAGCUAAUACCGCAUACGUCGCAAGACCAAAGAGGGGGACCUUCGGGCCUCUUGCCAUCGAAUGUGCCCAGAUGGGAUUAGCUAGUAGGUGGGGUAACGGCUCACCUAGGCGACGAUCCCUAGCUGGUCUGAGAGGAUGACCAGCCACACUGGAACUGAGACACGGUCCAGACUCCUACGGGAGGCAGCAGUGGGGAAUAUUGCACAAUGGGCGCAAGCCUGAUGCAGCCAUGCCGCGUGUAUGAAGAAGGCCUUCGGGUUGUAAAGUACUUUCAGCGGGGAGGAAGGGAGUAAAGUUAAUACCUUUGCUCAUUGACGUUACCCGCAGAAGAAGCACCGGCUAACUCCGUG
rnacentral:rRNA from 1 species